UCAAACUGAAACCUUUCUUUCCUUAUUAUUUUCUUCUACAAUUUCAUUUUACACUAAUAAUAAUUUCUAACUAAUCUUAUUUCACAAGUGCUAUACUCUCUGGGAAAAUAGUAAGGAAAAUCUUUUAAAAGGAACUUUUUCUUGCUCCAACAUGGCAAUGGCUACGAGUUUUCCAGGUGAGUCAACUAUUUUUAUUUGUAGAAUUUUAUUUAUUCUUUUUUUCUCGUAUUAUGACGAAGGAUAUAUUAUACGCAAAGCCAUCUCGAUAAAUCCUGCUUUUAGACCGAGAGCUUGUAAAAUGGUAUUAAACAGAAACAAAUUUUGCAUGUCAUUUUUUAUGUGCAUAUAAUUCUAAUUUAUGUUCAUGUUGAAUAUAUAUAUUCUAUUUUUCUUUUUUCAAGCUAGCAUUAUAUCAUGGAAGCUCGUUUCAACUACGUAUAUAUUGCAGCAAUUAUUAAUACAUUAUGCAUUGGCUGGUUAUUUUCUAUUUUCUUCCUUUUUAGAACAAUUUUCGGUUCAGUAAAGUUCAUAGAUUUAAUCAAUUAGCCAAAUGCAUGUUAGCUACCUAAAUUUCAACUUGUAGUUUUGACUAGUUACACGACCAUAUCAUGCAUACAUUUCUUCGGUCAAGAAUGCAAGUGCCUUCUAUACAUGAAUAUUUUCAGACCAUUAGGUGCUCAAAUAUUAAACUUUUUCGGAAUCAAUUUUCAUGUUACAUUAUAAUAUAUAUUCUCUAACAUCAUUUCACUAUAACAUCCAAAAUAUUCGGAACAAACGAGGUUGUUAUAAAAAGAUUUGACUGUAUAAUUUUAACGGUUAGGAUCGGCCACCUUUUAGAACGGUGGUCAUUAUACAUAGUUUUCGAACCAACUUAAGGUGUGUUUGUGUUGAUAGCUAGAAUUUGAAUUGCAUGAAUGAAUAUCUAUUAUGACAAGUAACUUUGCAUCUUUAAGGUAAUUUUCAGUCUCAUUUUAUUGGACCUUAUAACAAUAUUAUUCGAGAAGUAAAAUGAAAGUAAAAUAUGCAUGUAUAUUUAUAGUUACCUACCAAUCGCAUGUGCAGUAUAUUUAAAAUAAACAGACUGGUAGCUGCUUUUAGUUGAAGUUCUGAAUAGUUGGUCUAAGGAUGGUUCUUCAUGUUGUUAGACAAAACCUUGACAAUUGAAGACAUAAAGAAGAUAUAUUCCAGUACUAUUGUAGUCCGGUAAAAGAAAGUUAAAGAAAAUAAAAAUAAAAAAUUAGUCUUGUAAAAGUUGUAAUGACAUGGAUAUAUGUUGUUGCAGUUUAAUUUUGUAUCUAGAGCUUUGGAAGUUUUAAAGGAGAUGAUAAACAAAAGAAAUGUCAGAUUUGUUAUUCAUGUAAAAUGUUAGAGUCUAUGCUUGAUUUAAAUUAUAUUCAUCCUGGUAUGUUAGGAUUGUUUUAACUUUUAACUAGUUAAAGCCGCCUUGUGGUCACAAGGAGAUUGAUAUUGACCCCAACCUUAUAUAUUAAAAUUCUAAAUAUAAUUACAUAGAGGAGAGGGACCUAAAAUCGAACAUCCUCACAAAGUAUAAGCAACAUGCCCGGCCAACUCAAUAGAAUUUUGAUGCAAGUGCAUGUCAUUAUAGGGUGUGUUAGACCGAAAAAUUAUUUUCUUAAUAUGGUACCAGCGCCAAAUUUAUUAUAACUCUUAGUUUACUCGAUGUUGAGCUCCCUGUUACAGUGUUCACGUACCAAAUUUUUAGUCUUGGGAGUGUGAAGGGGGUAUUUUUGCAUUGGAAAAAAACUGAAUUUAAAUUAAAGAUGACGUGGCAUGACACGUGGACUGGUCAAGUAGUCAAAGCGUAACAAUUGAGUAAAAGGCACGAGAGAUAACAGAUACGGGAAGAGAAAGUUAAACAGGCACGAGAAGCAGUUUAGACACGAGUCUCGCACCAAUUCAAGUCAUUGAAAGCCAACUAAUCAAAAGGCAUUGAAGACAUGGAUUUAAAGACAAAAAGGAGUCCAAAUUCAGUAUUGAAUACCUGAUACGUUAGAAAAUUGGUAUUUAAUAGGAAUGAUUGUGUAACGGCUUAUUUAAUGUCAUUUAUUACUCAUAUAUACGUUGGGAAAUUGGCAUUUAAUAGGAAUGAUUGUGUAACGGCUUAAUUAAUGUCAUUUAUUACUCAUAAUUGUCUCAUUAAAGCCGAGGUUUCAUUCUUUUACCUAGAAUCAACUAUAAAAGGAAGAAGUCUCAUCAUUUGUAAGGACACGAAAAAUAUCAUUGACAACAUACUGAAAUAUAAACUUGUUUAUUGUUUUAUUCUUAUUCUCAGAAAGCUUAUAAUUCUAUUUCUGUCUCUUGAUUAUCAGUAACUCGAUUUUUUAUCCUAAAUUCUAGCUUUGACCAAAAUAUUAUUUUUUGGUUAAAUAAAUUGGUUCCGUUACCAGGAAUCUGAUAAUCUAUUCUUUCUGAAAUUACACUUUAUCCAUUGUUAACAUCAUGUCAAACAACAACGACAACAAUAAUCAAGAAAAUCAUAUCCAUCAAGUGGUGGGAGAUGAACUCAAUGAUGCUAUUCCUCAAGCUUCUCCACGUGGAUCUCGAGAAAGAACUCCUAAUGAUAUGUCUGAACAUGUUGAUGGAGAAGUUGAAACAAGAGACGAACUUCUACAAAAAAUAAUUGAUGCACGAAUUGAUAAAGCUUUGGAAGCUUUAGCUAGUCGAUUGCCUGCUGCGCCAACAACGCACAAUAGUAACACGUUGGAAAACCCCCACUCUGGUCUAGUUAAUUCUGGUAAUGGAUCAACCCCCAGUAAUUCACAAGAAGGAGAACCAGGUAAUUCAGAUAAUUCUCAUCUUCAAAAUUUAGUACUAAUCUUGCAGAAACAGCUCAAGGAGCAAAAUGAGCGUAUCGAGCAAAUCCAUGGAGUCCCGUCUGUAAUAAAAGAAGUAGACGUGGAAAAAUAUUCACAACAACCUUAGAAGCCAAGUGCUGCACCCCUUCCGAUUCCGAAAAAGUUCAAUAUGCCUGACAUCCCAAAAUAUGAUGGUACAACAGACCCACGUGACCACGUAAAUGCAUUUACAACAGGAGUGAAAGGCAACGACUUGACCAAAAAAGAAAUUGAAUCAGUAUUGGUCAAAACAUUUGGGGAGACACUCACCAAGGAUGCAUUAACCUGGUAUUCUCUUUUACCUGAAAAUUCUAUAAAUUCUUUUGCUGAGCUUGUAGAUUCUUUUAUUAAAGCACACUCGGGAGCUCAAAAGGUCGAGAAAAGAAUUAAGGAUAUCUUCAAAUCAAACAAGGGAACUCUGAACUGCUCAGAGAUUUUGUUAAUAGAUUCCAACGUAAAAGAAUGACUCUACCCCGUGUACCAGAUAAAUGGGCAGCGAUAGCUUUUGCAAGCAAUUUGAAUGACAAAAGUUCAGCAGCCACGAGAAGGCUCAAAGAAAGUGUCCGUGAAUUUCCUGCAACCACUUGGAAUGAUGUUUAUAACAUGUACAGUACAAAGCUCAGAAUUGAAGAGGAUACCGUACCUCCGUACCAUCGUGAAAAAAGGAACGGGUCUAGGAGGUCAGAAGCUGAAAAAAGAUCAGGUAAGAAUAGAUACGAUCCAUAUAUAGGACCUGCAGGAAAAUAUUCACGAUUGAAACAUGAUAACCAACGAUUUGAUCAAAGGAUAAGAAACAGGGAGACCGGGUCUUCAUCCAGGUUCAGAGGUGAUCAAAGAAAUCAAGAGCCUCGAGAUGACAAUAGGAAUUUUAAUGGCACGAUUCAGCGGCUAUAAUUUCAAUGUAACUAAUUCUGAGCUCGUAGCUAUUCAAAGGAGUAUGGGAGACAAGGUACGAUGGCCAAAAGAGAUGCGGUCAAAUCCAAACAUGCGUAAUAUGGACCAUUGAUGAAAAUUCCACAACAACCACGGGCAUAAAACAUCAGAAUGCAGAUUCCUACAAAGUGAAGUGGACCAUCGAUUGAAGCAAGGAUAUCACACUGAGUUGUUUAAUGAAAGGGGAAAAUAAGCUUACAUGAAAAAUAGGUAGGAGCCACCGAAACCACCAUCACCUAAGAGAACUGUGAACGUCAUCAGUGGAGGAGAAGAUAUUUAUGGAGUAACUUAUACAGCUUCAGAUAAGGUUUCCAAAGUAACGAUCACACACGGGAAGCGAGUACGGCAGUCCUUAGAGCACGAAAGCAUAAACUUUGAUGACGCAGAUACAUAUACAGCAUCAAAUAAGGUUUCCAAAAUGACGAUCAUGCACGGGAAGCGAGUGUGGCAAACCUUAGAGCGCAAAAGCAUAAACUUUGAUGACGCAGAUUCAGAAGGAGUGUUUACUCCUCACAAUGAUGCACUGGUAAUAUCUUUACUUGUACAUGACACUAAUGUAAAACGAGUUUUGAUUGAUCCAGGGAGUUCUGCAAAUAUCAUCCUACUAAGGGUAUUACGGGAUAUGCAAGCUGAAGAUAAAUUGAUACACAAGGCACAUACUUUGUCAGGCUUCGACAAUUCGAGCGUGGUAACAAAAGGAGAGGUAAUUCUAACAACUUUUGCUACAGGUGUUAUUAAAGAAAUUAAAUUUCAGGUAGUUUAUAUGGAAAUGGCAUACAGUAUAAUCAUGGGGAGACAUUGGAUCUAUGAUAUGGAUGUUGUUCCAUCAACUUUGCAUCCAGUUAUUAAGUUUCCAUAGGUAGUUGAUAUAGAAAUGACCUACAAUAUAAUCAUGGGGAGACCGUGGAUCCAUGAUAUGGAUGUUGUUCCUUCAACUUUGCAUCAAGUUAUUAAGUUUCCAUCACCGUGGGGAAUAUGUAAAAUUCGAGGGGAUCAACAAACAGCCAAGAGUAUCAACACCAUAACAGAUAUGAGCACCGUAAGUAAAGAGAAAUAGCAAUUAUAGGAAAUAGUUGGGGGUGUCAAGAAUCAAACUUCAACUGAACAAGAAAAAAUAGACUUAGACUCAAGACCUGAUGUAAUUCAAGAACCUGAAGAAAAUGAGAACAUUAAAACAAUAAUAGAGGAGCUCGAGGCUGUGGUGUUAUUUGAGACCUGAACGAAAGGUUUAUGUAGGAGCCAAUCUGAAUCCCGACAUGCGAGGUAUGUUAAUUGAGUUUUUAAAAGCUAAAGUAGACUGUUUUUCUUGGUCCCACUCUGAUAUGACAGGGAUAUCACCGGAUGUGAUGACUCACAAACUCAACGAGGACCCAUCUUUCACACCAAUAAAGCAAAAUAAAAGAAAGCAAUGUGCUUUCAAAAACUAGGUGAUUCAAUAUGAGGUCCAAAAAUUAUUAAAGAUUGGGUCGAUCCGCGAGGUAAAGUAUCCUAAUUGGUUAGCUAACACGGUGGUCGUACCUAAGAAAAAUGGUAAGUGGCGUGGUUGUGUGGAUUAUACUGAUCUAAACAAAGCUUGUCCAAAAGACUCUUUCCCUUUACCGCAUAUAGACCAAUUAAUUGACGCAAUUGCAGGUCAUGAACUUUUAAGCUUUUUAGAUGGAUAUUCGGGAUAUAAUCAAAUUAAAAUGGAUCCUGGUGAUGAGGAAAAAACUUCUUUCAUCACAAACAGGGGGACUUACUAUUAUAAAGUAAUGCCCUUUGGUCUUAAGAAUGCUGGAGCAACCUAUCAAAGGUUGGUCACCAAAAUAUUUCAAGAAUAUUUAGGAAAAACUAUGGAGGAAUAUAUAGACGAUAUGCUCGUCAAAAGCCAACAUUCUCACGAUCAUAUUUCUCAUUUAGCUAUUACAUUCGAAUUUUACGAAAAUUUAACAUGAAACUCAACCCAGAAAAGAGUGCAUUCGGAAUUGCUUCAGGUAAAUUUCUGGGUUUUCUUGUUUCUAACCAUGACAUUGAGGUAAAUCCUUCUCAUAUUAAGGCAAUAGAAGAAAUCCCCGAUAUCCUUACCAAUAAGAAGGAGGUUCAAAGAUCGGGAAGGAUUGCUCCCCUGGGAAGAUUUAUUUCUAAAUCUUCAGAAAAAUGUUUUAAGUUCUUCUCUGCUCUCAAAAGGCAAGACCAUUUUGAAUGGAACGAAGAUUGUCAACAAGUCCUUAGGAGCUUGAAAGCUUACUUAUCAAAUCCUCCACUGUUGGCAAAACCAAAGGAAGGUGAAACAUUGCUCAUUUACUUAGCAGUAUCAGAAGUCAUGGUAAAUGUUGUUUUGCUAUGAGAGGACCAAGGUAAGCAAUCCCCUAUUUAUUAUGUAAGCAAAUAUUUAUUAGAUGCUGAGACACGUUAUCCACAGCUAGAAAAGUUGGCACUAGCUUUGAUCAUGGCAUCUAGGAAAUUAUGACCUUAUUUUCAAUGUCGCCCAAUUGUCGUAGUUAUUUCUUUUCCAUUACGAAACAUUUUGCAUAAACAUGAAUUGUCAGAAAGAUUAGCAAAAUGGGCUAUGGAACUAAGUGAAUAUGAAAUCAUUUAUCAGCCUAGGACUGCUAUAAAAUCCCAAGUUCUCGCUGAUUUCGUAGCGGAUUUUAGUCAAGGGAUGCAUUUAGAAGCAGAAAAGGAAUUACAAGUCUUUAAUGGAAUGAACCCAAGAACUUGGAUUUUGUGUACGAAUGGUUCAUCUAUUGUAAAAGGAGCAGGCUUGGGAAUUGAUCUUAAACCACCUACGGGUGAGACCAUUAGACAGGCUAUAAAAUGUCACCCUUUGGUUCAUCUAAUGUAAAGGAAGCAGGUUUAGGAAUUGUUCUUAAACCACCUAUGAGAGAGACCAUUAGACAGGCUAUAAAAUGUCACCCUGUAACUAACAAUGAAGCAGAGUAUGAAGCUGUGAUUGCAGGCUUAGAGUUGGCACGGGAACUUGGCAUCACACAAAUCAUAAUCAAAAGUGAUUCACAACUCGUGGUAAAUCAAAUGUUGGGGACUUACAUGGCCAGGGAAACGUGAAUGCAAGAAUAUCUUGAAAAGGUACGGGAAGUGAAAAAAUAGUUCCAAACUUGGAAGGUAAUGCAAAUCCAAAGAGAGGGGAACGCAGAGGCAGAUGCCUUCGCUAAUCUAGCAUCUGCGACAGACAUAGCAAAUGACGCAAAUGCUUCAAUCAUACAUUUAUUUCAUUCCAUUCUCGAACCUGACAAGAAUGAGGUAAAUUUUAAUCAUUUAACAUGGGAUGGAGAAAUGAAAUAGUUGUUUUUUUGCAGCAUGGAAUUGUUCCUAAUGAUAAAAUAUCAUUUAACAUAGGAUUGGAGAAACGAAAUAGUUGCUUUUUUGCAGCAUGAAACCAUUCAUGAUGAUAAGAAAAAGGAUCAUGCACUUCGUAAGAAAGCUUCUCGUUAUUAUUUACAUCAAGGAAACCUUUGCCGAAAAUGUUUGGAGGACCAUUAGCAAGGUGUCUCGCGCCUUCCCAAACAGAGUAUGUAAUGAGAGAAAUACAUGAGAGACAUUGUGGAAAUCAUGCAGGAGGCAGGCCACUAGUAAACAUAUUGAUUCGAGCAUGGUACUAUUGGCCUAAGAUGGAAGAGGAAGCAAAUGAUUUCGUAUCUAAGUGUGAUAAAUGUCAAAGAUACGGUAACAAUAUGCAUAGACCAGCCGAAUUAUUACACCCUGUUAUAUCUCCAAGGCCCUUCAUGAAAUGGGGAAUGGACAUCGUAGGUCCAUUACCACAAGCAAAAGGUCAGCUAAAGUUUCUACUUGUACUUACUGAUUAUUUCACUAAAUGGGUAGAAGCAGGAGCAUUCAAAUAGUUACGAGAGAAAGAAGUCAAAGAUUUCAUUUGGAGAAACAUAAUAUGCCGCUUUGGGGUACCAAAAGAAAUCGUAUGUGAUAAUGGUCCACAAUUCAUAGGAGCACAAAUCACGGAAUGCUUUCAAAGUUGGCAGAUUAAAAGGAUAACAUCAACACUGUACCAUCCGGUAGGUAAUGGACAAGCGAAAUUCACAAACAAGGUCAUAAUCAAUAAUUUAAAGAAAAGAUUACAAGAGUCAAAAGGCAAUUGGCCUGAGGUAUUACCUGCGAUAUUAUGGGCGUAUCGAACAACGGCGAAAAUAAGAACAGGAGAAACACCAUUUUCAAUGGUUUAUGGAGCGGAGGCCUUGAUACCGGUUGAAAUAGGGGAACCAAGCACACGGUACGUUCAAGCAACGGAAGACUCAAAUAAUGAAGAGUUACGGGUGAACCUUGAUUUUCUCGAAGGAAGAAGAGAAGCUGCAUUAAUAAGGAUGGUAGCUCAAAAGCAAGUAAUUGAACGAUACCAUAAAAGGAAAGGCCAUCUCAGGUUCUUCAAAAUUGGGGACUUUGUGCUCAAAAAGGUAUUUCAAUCUACGAAGGCUACUAACUAUAGAAACCUAAGUCCAACAUGGGAAGGACCCUGCCGAAUUCAUGACAUUGCAGGGAAAGGAGAAUACGAGUUGGAGACGAUGGAUGGCAAGGUUUUACCUUCACAUUGGAAUGUUGUCCAUCUGAAGAGAUAUUGCUCCUAAGGGAGUGGUCACAGUCAGGUAUCGCUAUAUUAAAUUUUUCCUUUGAAUUGUUAAAAUUUUACUAACGAUUUUAGAUGCUAGGCAAAAAUCCUAACUCGUGCCAAAUGAUGAGUCACGACAUGCACAGAAAAAUGGAAUACUCUUAAAUUUUGAGCCUAGGGUUACAUUAAUCUAAUGGAAAUACACACGGGUUAGGCAGUCUUCAUCUAUAAUCACACCUCCGAGUCCCGUACAUUUUUCUAUUUUAGGAAAAGGACCAAAUUGAGAGAAACAAACAAGUGCUCGAGACUUCAUUCUUCACCGCUCAAACACUUGGGGGACUAAAUACUAUACACAGAUACGAAUAUCACAAGAUAAGAAUAUCGAAUAAAAGUUGGUCAAAGAUUUGGCAAGAUUCAGCUGCAAAAAGAGAAGUGUUGAAAGGAAGUUACGGAAUCUUCAGCAUUCAAGCACAAAGCAUUCAUCAUAAUGUUUUUUUCUCAUGAAGACAACAAGAGUCAUUUCUCAAACUCAUAAACAAAGUCACUUCUCAAACCCUGACCCUUCCUAAAUAUAUAAAGAUAGGGUUAUGACUAUAUAUUGAAAUAGGUUAUGAAUAAAAACCUUGUCUAUUUUAUAUCAUGUAAAAAUCUGUUACAAGAAAAACAGUUACGAGAAAGUUAUAGAUGUAUUUUAAUACAUGUAAUAGUCCAAAAACUUGUUAAAGUUCAUGAAUAAAAACUUAUUAAAGUUGUUUCAUACAAAGCAUGUAAUAUAUGUAAUAGUAAAAAACUUGUUAAAGUUCAUGAAUAAAAACUUAUCAAAAGUUUAUUCAUACAAAACAUGUGUAUUACUAUCUCUUUCAUCGUAUUAUAACAUCAUUAUGAAGUUGAGACGUCUUCUUCAUUAAGUUUCUAUAAAAUAAAAGGGCCCUCUUUUGUAAACCUCAUGUUGAUAUUCUGUGAGAAGAAUUAUAAAGCAUUUUCAAAAGAUAAAAAUGCUAAGCUACUCUGUAAAUCCUUAAUAAGUAAAUAGGCAAGAAUAGAAUAUAAAGAAGUACCCAUAAAACUUCUUAGCAUAAAAGACUAAGGAAAAACUUAGUCAUCAAAGUGUUUAUUUUACAAAUGCCCCAUUAUGGUAACUGGGGACUUCGUCAAAAGAUCCUUUCAAAAUUGCCAAUGGAUAACAUUAACAAUCACAAAAAAAUAAUAAUAACUCAACACAUUUAACUGGUCACAGAAGGAGUUGGAGCUUCAAAAGUUGUAACAUCACUUUCAGAGGCAAUAACAGGCGCGGUGAAAACUUCUGAAGGAGCAGCAAUAUGAGCGAUUUCAACUGAGCUUGAAGUGAUAACAUCAACGAGGGAAGCAGUAGUCACGGGAACCUCAACUCCCAUAGACAGUGUCAUAUAAGUUUCACCCUCGGAAGCCGGAAUCACAACUUCAAUUACCUCAGUAACUGCUUCAAAGUUCAAUAGCUCUUCCGUUCCAGGAGCUCCGAGUGCUGGAGAAGGGGUAUCAAUAGUUCCAAGUGCAGGAGAAGGAGUCUCAGCAUGUUGUUGACUUUUCUCGACAGUGUCCAUGAUUUUGGCCAAUUCAGAUUGCAAGUCGAGUUUUCUUGUGUAGCCUCCAUCAAAGCAUCACAGCGAGAAUUUAGAAAAGCCCAACUCACCUUUAUGUUGAAAUUUUCUUCAAGAGCAUUAUAUUCAUUCUCCUGAGCCUUAUAUUCCUUUUCCCACAUAGCAAGAUCAUUUUUUGCUAUUUGGUGUUCAACUAAUUGAGAAUCCAGGGAAGCUUCAAGAGAGGCAUGGGAACAUUCCAAGGCACGACUUUUGUCAGAAUAAAUCCUUAAGUCAUUUUGAGCAUGAGUUAAGUUUUGAGCUAACUCCCUUGCGUAUUCUUCUUUCUUCUCCAUAUGUGUCUUAAGCUCUUUAAUCUCAUCAUUGGCUUUAGAUAGAGAGCAUUCCAAAAUCUCUUUGUUCUUUUUAAGCCGGCCCCAAGAAGCAUUGGCAAUUCCCAACUCAGAAGAUAAGCCAUGAUUUUGUUGCUCCAAGUGAGCCUUACUCUCCUGCAACUCCUCUGUGGUCCCUUGGGCACUCUCAAAUUGUUCUUUCCAGUUUAUUGCCUCAAGUAAGGAAUCCUCGGCUAUCUUCCUAGCCUCAGAGAUAGCCUUUGUGGACUCUCACUCCUUUUUCUCCAAAGUAGAGACUCGCCCCAUCAGCUCAGUCCCAAUAAGAUUAGCCUACAGUUAUAAAGCAUAGAAGUGAGAACAUAGAAGGAAAUUUAAGGAAAGCGUCAAGGUCAAGAAAAUUACCUUUAAAGUUGAAUGAACUAAGUCAUUCAUCAAAUUGUAACAACUAUGGCUUUGCAUCUUGUUCUUUUCGAUCUCUCCAAUAAGAGGUUCGAGCCAAGUAUCAGCUCCCCAUGAUUUUCUUAAGAGGCUUUGAUUGGCAGGGACCUUGAGUGUUACACUCCUCAUAGUCGUGCCUCUAUUGCUGGAACUUACCUCUAUAGGUUGGACAGAUGAAGAGGGAAUAGCGGAAGGGGGAGUAGUAGAAAAGGUAAACACAGCAGGAGUCAUAGGAGUCGAAGCAGGAACAGAGGGAGUAGAUAUAGAAACCAACACAGGAACGAGAGCAGGUGCAGUUAAAGCUGGUAAAGGAACGGAAGCAGUUAAGGCUGGUAAAGAAACACUUACGGUUGACAAAGGAAUGGACGAAAUACGAACGAAUGAGGAGAGAGGGGCUUCAUCAAAAAAGGGCCGAGCUCUCCACUCUAAAAACCAUCAAAGAGACGCUGAGUUGAUUCAUUAGUGUCUCUAGGCAUGUUGUGCUUGUUAGAAGGAAUCAAAACAGGCUCGGUGGUUGAGGUUUGAGUAGGAGUGUCUUCAAUUUCAUCAUUAUUAAUGAUGCGUCUCCUAACUCUUGGCCUGGAUAUUAAAGAGGUACCUUCCUCUUCCUCAUUCUCAGAACCUUCUCCUAUAGCUUUCCUUUUUGUAAGCAAGGCUCGAGCAUUGUCCAAAUCAAGUGCAGCAUUACCAGACAUGCGAAUGGCCAAAGCUACAUCAGAUGCCAUUCCUUUAGCACCAAAUCCUGAUUAAAAGAAGGAUACACAAUCAACAUUAAGGAAAAGUUACUUAAUAUGUAAAAAGAGAAAAAUGUGUAAAAAGGGGAUACCGUGUAUUUUCACUUUCCAGCCAUGUAAAGCAGAAAUUGAUUUCUAAGUUCUUUGCUUCUUAGGAUCAAUCUUUCAAAAUUGAGUCUACCCAACCAUAGUUGGGAAUAGGUUCCACAUCUCCCAUAAUUGCUACAAAAAACCAAAAAGAGAUAAAGUCAGAAAAAGAAUCGAAAUUCUCAAAAAUAGGUACGGUCAAAUAAAAGGAAACUUACGUGCAAAAUUCCACUUCUUAGAGAAGGGAAUAUUUGUUUCACCAAGAAAGUCCACCGUACGUACUACAACGUAACGGGUAUACCAUCCACGAUCUUUAUCAUCUUCAGGGCUUACCAAAACCUUCUUGCUUCUUGCAGUUAAGGUAAAAACCUUAUGGCGCAUUAAAUUGGGAUGGUAUAAGUGAAUAAGGUGAGAGAAGGUGAAGUUGAUAUUGGCUUUGGUAGAUAGGUAUCUCAAACAAGCCACUGCUCUCCAUACUAGGGGGACCAACGUUGGCCAAAUAAAUUUUAAAGAAACAGCAAAAAUCAAGAAUGACCGGGUCAAUCGGAGGAUUAAAACCCAGAGUAAAAGGGUAAGUAUAAACAAAAAAGUACCCAAUCCCAAAAGAAGAAAUUAUUUGAUUUGGCAAAGGAAUUGACAUUCGAAGAUAUUUUUCCAGUUACAAUCUCUUCUGAUGAUAGGGAUUAUUAGCUCAGUCACUAAUGUAGAAUAAGUAUCAGCUUUUUCUAAACUUGCAACUUGCUUUUGAAGAGAUUGUCUAUCACUCACAAAAGAUAAAUCACUGGGUACGAUUUCAUCAACUAAAGGUUCUUGAGAAAAAUCGGAAAUUUCUUUACCUUUAGAAGAAGGAGUUUUUGGAAUAGAAAUCCUAGAAGAAGAACCAGAAGAGCCGAACCGAGUAGAUUAUAACCCUGUUCGAACCCUACCUCCUCUGCCUCUCCUAUGUCUAACAAGGGCAUUGGGGAAUUUGUCUAGAAUUGGAACUCUUUUAGGGUUAGAGUUUGGAGACGCCAUUGUUGAGCAAGGUUGAAUCGAAAGAGGGCAAAAGUAAGGAGGAGAGGGUUUGUUAAAGAUUUAUGAAGAAGAAGACAAAGGAAGAAAAGGUUAAGUUGUGUAUGUAAUGGCAACCGUCAAACUUAGAAGUAUAAUGAUGGAAAGUCUAUAAUAAAGGCAACUAUCACUUCGUGAAUACUGGGAGUGAAGAAGCCUUGAAAAAGGGUACAAAAUAGCAGAAUCAAUCAAAAAGUGACACAUGAACAGAACAUUAAAUGGAAAAGACAAUUGAGAGAUCAAUAUUGUCAUACGUAUUGAUUAUGGAAAAAAGUACCUUUUUUUAUGAAGAUCUACUUCCCAAUUAUUUAAUUGAUAAAUAAAUGGAAAGUGGGUACUAUCUGUAUUGGGAAAAAACUGAAUUUAAAUUAUAGAUGAUGUGGCAUGACACAUGGACUAGUCAAGUAGUCAAAGCGUAACAAUUGAGUAAAAGACACAAGAGAUAACAAAUACGGGAAGAGAAAGUUAAACAGGCACGAGAAGCAGUUUAGACACGAGUCUCGUACCAAUUCAAGUCAUUUAAAGCCAACUGAUCAAAAGGCAUUGAAGACAUGGAUCUAAAGACAAAAAUGAGUCCAAAUUCAGUAUUAAACACCUGAUACGUUGGAAAAUUGGUAUUUAAUAGGAAUGAUUAUGUAACGGCUUAUUUAAUAUCAUUUAUUACUCAUAAUUAUCUCAUUAAAGCUGAGGUUUCAUUCUUUUACCUAGAAUCCACUAUAAAAGGAAGAAGUCUCAUCAUUUGUAAGGACACGAAAAAUAUCAGUGACAACAUACUGAAAUAUAAACUUGUUUAUUGCUUUAUUCUUAUUAGAAAGCUUAUUAUUCUAUUUUGGUCUCUUGAUUAUCAGUAACCUGAUUUUUCAUCCUAAAUUUUAGCUUUGACCAAAAUAUUAUUUUUUGGUUAAACAAUUUUGUUUACCACACCUUGUAUAAUAAAAUAUAUUAGGUUUAUUAUAUGAGUUUUGAUAAUUCUUAUAUUUUCAGCUACCUUUUGGGAUUGAAUUAUACCCACGAUAUAAUCUAUUAAUAUAGUAACCAACAACUACUGAAGAAAUAAACUGAAACAUAAACUUAUGGCAUUACGAUAUGUGCAAACCUCACGUACAUAUUCUAUUACAAGAUAAUAUUUAAGAUUCAUACUUAUAAAUUACAUAUCAAACAAUAAUGCUAGAACAUAUCAUCAAGAGAAAGAAUCGUUUGCUUUAAUAAGAAUCCAAAUUCUUCAUUUAUUUCGUAAACAAUUCAUGGUAAGGUAAUUAGAGAAGGCACCUAAACAUCUUCAUUCAUCCACUCUCUUGUUGAUUUUUUUGAUUAUCCUGUGUAGGAGCAACCAAAGGAUCAAAAUCUGGGAACGUGCCAUUGGUAAUUUGUUGGUUUUGGCUAUUGAACAUGUCUUCAUUGAUCAAAGAAUUCAAGAACG
rnacentral:lncRNA from 1 species